rnacentral:rRNA from 1 species
UACAGAGGGUGCGAGCGUUGUCCGGAAUCACUGGGCGUAAAGGGCGCGUAGGCGGCGGGUCACGCGUGCCGUGAAAGCCCGGGGCUCAACCCCGGGUCGGCGGUGCGAACGGGCUCGCUCGAGCGUACGAGAGGCAGGCGGAAUUCCGGGUGUAGCGGUGGAAUGCGUAGAGAUCCGGAAGAACACCGGUGGCGAAGGCGGCCUGCUGGCGUACGGCUGACGCUGAGGCGCGACAGCGUGGGGAGCAAACAGG